AACGAACGCUGGCGGCAGGCUUAACACAUGCAAGUCGAGCGCCCCGCAAGGGGAGCGGCAGACGGGUGAGUAACGCGUGGGAAUCUACCCAUCUCUACGGAAUAACGCAUGGAAACGUGUGCUAAUACCGUAUACGUCCUUCGGGAGAAAGAUUUAUCGGAGAUGGAUGAGCCCGCGUUGGAUUAGCUAGUUGGUGGGGUAAAGGCCUACCAAGGCGACGGUCCAUAGCUGGUCUGAGAGGAUGAUCAGCCACACUGGGACUGAGACACGGCCCAGACUCCUACGGGAGGCAGCAGUGGGGAAUAUUGGACAAUGGGCGCAAGCCUGAUCCAGCCAUGCCGCGUGAGUGAUGAAGGCCCUAGGGUUGUAAAGCUCUUUCACCGGUGAAGAUAAUGACGGUAACCGGAGAAGAAGCCCCGGCCAACUUCGUGCCAGCAGCCGCGGUAAGAC
rnacentral:rRNA from 1 species